GAAAUGCGAUAAGUAAUGUGAAUUGCAGAAUUCCGUGAAUCAUCGAAUCUUUGAACGCACAUUGCGCCCCCUGGUAUUCCGGGGGGCAUGCCUGUCCGAGCGUCAGUACGAACCCUCAAGCACGGCUUGUGUGAUGGGCCCCGGCGUCCGCCCUCGCGGUGGACGGGCCCCAAAUGUAGUGGCGGCGCGGUGCGCUAAGCUGCGGUGUAUGGGAACUUCUUCUAGUGAACACACUCGCGGUGCGUACCCACGCAGGCCCUUUACGGUCAUCUAGUGUUUGACCUCGGAUCAGGUAGGGAUACCCGCUGAACUUAA
rnacentral:misc_RNA from 1 species